rnacentral:rRNA from 1 species
UUGAAAUCUGGCUCCCUGCGGAGUCCGAGUUGUAAUUUGUAGAAGAUGCUUUGGGUGCGCGGCCCGGCCUUAAGUUCCUUGGAACAGGACGUCGUAGAGGGUGAGAAUCCCGUAUGCGGCUGUGGCCGACGCCCGUGUAAAGCUCUUUCGACGAGUCGAGUUGUUUGGGAAUGCAGCUCAAAAUGGGUGGUAAAUUUCAUCUAAAGCUAAAUAUGGGCCAGAGACCGAUAGCGCACAAGUAGAGUGAUCGAAAGAUGAAAAGCACUUUGGAAAGAGAGUUAAACAGUACGUGAAAUUGUUGAAAGGGAAGCGCAUGCAACCAGACUUGGGCGUCGCUGAUCAUCCCAAGUUUUCUUGGGUGCACUCGACGACGUACAGGCCAGCAUCGGUUGGGGUGGUGGGAGAAAGGUCGCAGGAACGUAGCUCUUUUCGGGGAGUGUUAUAGCCUGCGGCGCAAUACCGCCUACCUCGACCGAGGACCGCGCUUCGGCUAGGAUGCUGGCGUAAUGGUUGUAAGCGACCCGUCUUGAAACACGGACCAAGGAGUCUAACAUCUAUGCGAGUGUUUGGGUGCAAAACCCAUGCGCGAAAUGAAAGUGAACGUAGGUGAGAACCCUUCAAGGGGGCAUCAUCGACCGAUCCUGAUGUCUUCGGAUGGAUUUGAGUAU